rnacentral:rRNA from 1 species
UACGGAGGAUCCGAGCGUUAUCCGGAUUUAUUGGGUUUAAAGGGUGCGCAGGCGGGGGAUUAAGUCGGCGGUGAAAUUUUGCAGCUCAACUGUAAAAGUGCCAUUGAUACUGGUUUUCUUGAGUGUGGAUGAAGUAGGCGGAAUUUGUGGUGUAGCGGUGAAAUGCAUAGAUAUCACGAGGAACUCCGAUUGCGCAGGCAGCUUACUAAACUACUACUGACGCUCAGGCACGAAGGCGUGGGGAUCAAACAGGAUUAGAUACCCCCCGUAGU